UACAGAGGGUGCAAGCGUUAAUCGGAAUUACUGGGCGUAAAGCGCACGCAGGCGGUUGGUUAAGUCAGAUGUGAAAGCCCCGGGCUCAACCUGGGAAUUGCAUUUAAAACUGUCCAGCUAGAGUCUUGUAGAGGGGGGUAGAAUUCCAGGUGUAGCGGUGAAAUGCGUAGAGAUCUGGAGGAAUACCGGUGGCGAAGGCGGCCCCCUGGACAAAGACUGACGCUCAGGUGCGAAAGCGUGGGGAGCAAACAGG
rnacentral:rRNA from 1 species